rnacentral:rRNA from 1 species
AGAGUUAAAAGUACGUGAAAUUGCUAAAAGGGAAACAUUUGACACCAGUAUUUGGGAGUCGGAAAUCAGCCUCGGUAUACUGGGGUGCACUUUCCGGCUACCAGGUCAACAUCAGUUUGGGGACGUGGAAAAAUUUCCAGGAAGGUAUCUGGCUUUCGAGCCAGUGUUAUAGCCUGGGAUUAUGCACGGACUUGGACUGAGGACUGCAGUGCUUUCUUGGGACUUCUCGUAUUUUUCAGGCGUCAAGUAGUUUUCUGCAUGCAGAAUUCCGUUUGGCAUUUGGUCAAUGCGGGUGUGUUCACACCAGCGCUUAGGAUGUUGACGAAAUGGUUUUAAACGACC